rnacentral:rRNA from 1 species
UGGGGAAUCUUCCGCAAUGGACGAAAGUCUGACGGAGCAACGCCGCGUGAGUGAAGAAGGUUUUCGGAUCGUAAAACUCUGUCUUUUGGGGCGAACGUGAGUAUGGUGAACAAUCAUAGUCAGUGACGGUACCAAAGGAGGAAGCCACGGCUAACUACGUGCCAGCAGCCGCGGUAAUACGUAGGUGGCAAGCGUUGUCCGGAAUUAUUGGGCGUAAAGAGCGCGUAGGCGGGAUAGUCAGUCUGUUGUAAAAGUGCGGGGCUCAACCCCGUGAUGGCAAUGGAAACAGCUAUUCUUGAGUGCAGGAGAGGAAAGUGGAAUUCCCAGUGUAGCGGUGAAAUGCGUAGAUAUUGGGAGGAACACCAGUGGCGAAGGCGACUUUCUGGACUGUGUCUGACGCUGAGGCGCGAAAGCCAGGGGAGCGAACGGGAUUAGAUACCCCGGUAGUCCUGGCCGUAAACGAUGGGUACUAGGUGUGGGGGUAUCGACCCCUUCCGUGCCGGAGUUAACGCAAUAAGUACCCCGCCUGGGGAGUACGGUCGCAAGACUGAAACUCAAAGGAAUUGACGGGGUCAUAGCUGUUUCCUG